rnacentral:rRNA from 1 species
UACGAAGGGGACCAGCGUUGUUCGGAAUCACUGGGCGUAAAGCGCACGUAGGCGGAUUUGUAAGUCAGGGGUGAAAUCCCGGGGCUCAACCUCGGAACUGCCUUUGAUACUGCAAGUCUUGAGUCCGAUAGAGGUGGGUGGAAUUCCUAGUGUAGAGGUGAAAUUCGUAGAUAUUAGGAAGAACACCGGUGGCGAAGGCGGCCCACUGGAUCGGUACUGACGCUGAGGUGCGAAAGCGUGGGGAGCAAACAGG